rnacentral:lncRNA from 1 species
CAUUAUUUAAUGUAGCCAGUAGCGGAGGCAGAAAUUUUGAAUAGUGGGGGCACCAUUAUACGAAAUUUGUUGGGAGGGAGAGUUGGUGUGGUUGAUUUAACGGUUCCAUGAAACAAGGAGGAAGAGAUGAUUGUAGGUGGGUUUAGAAAUAAACUCUCACAAAAACGGCAUGUGAAGUGAAUACCAUCUCCACUUAUGAACAUUUAUUCAUGCUAUCUCUCAACCGAUGCAGAUAUUUUAAUAGAUCAUGAGGCGGGGUUUAUAAAAAUUGGUUAUUUUAAUUUAAAAAAUUUAAUAUAUGAGAGUGUAACAUGUUUUGUUUGUGUGGGGAGGAAAUCAAAACAAAGUACAUAAAUUGUGUGCAAAAUCCAUAAGGGUAUAUUCCAAUUCAUAUAUAUAAUUUGUGUGGAAAAUCUAAUAUGGUAAUUACAAGUAUAGUGGGGGAUAUGUUAAGGAAAUGUUUGUGUAGGCAGGAGCCCACACAACCUUGUGUGUGGCUCCGCCACUGAAUGCAGCUAAAACACCCAAAAAUAACAGUACCGUACAUUCUACUAGAGAAGUUAGGAAACCCAUAACUGAUUGAAAGAGCUCCUCGCGCCAAUCACUUAAAGAGAUGAAAUUACAAUUGAACAACGGAUACAUUAUUUCUAAAAGUAGUGAAAUUUUUACUUGCUUUACAACAUUAACCGCAUCAAAUUAGUUAAAUUAUAUUUUGCAUCGGCAAUAAGGAAAUGAUAAUCUGCAUUCCAAGGAUUAGAGGUAACUAAAAUAUUACUCUAAACCUCAUGAUGGAGAUUACCUAUUUCUUAUCCAUUAUUUAUUCGGACUCCAUCAACGAGAACAUUCUAUGUGCAAAAUAGAAGCUAUCAAAUUGAUUUAAUUAUUCUGCAUUGAUGUUAAGGAAAAAAUAAUCUACAAUCCAAGGCUUAGAAACAAUUACGCAACUAUUUUCUUUUUAAGGAAAUGAAGAAACUAUUGUUCUAAACCUCAGGAUGCAGAUUAUCCCAUCCCCACCCAAUAUAUUCUUAGUUAACAAGCCCCUAUUUCGCAUUAAGAAAAAGGUAAUCUGUAUCCCAAGGACUAGAUACAACACAAAUGUUGGUAUAAACCAUAGGAUACAUAUUACCCUAUCCUCAAUCAAUUGACACCUACUCCAAUUUUAAGUAGACUAAGCAAAUGGCAGUGGAAGAAAUAGCAUGAGCAAGUAAUCCAAGGGAAAAGAAUGCUUGAAAUCUGCAUGAUCAUCAUAUGAAUUUAUAAAAUGUUCCUCAACUAUAUUCGAUUAAGAUUGGUUUAGCGAAUCAUUCUUUUAAUUAUUCUUAGCUUGACUGUCUUUUUGAAAAGAAUGUACAUCACUUAUUCUUGACAUAUGAUAUACAAUGCUAUUGAAUCAGAGCAAUAUGUAACAAGAAUCAUCUCUAUCCGUGCAGUUCUUAAGAUUUGUCCCAAGAAGUUUGCCAUAUUCUCUAUGUUGUAUCUUGUUAUCUAACUUUUACGCUUUGGCACACAAUGCUAUUUUGACAGCUCCACACCCUUCGUUAUAUUAUGUAUGUUGAUAGUAGUAAUCUCCCAAAAUUAACAUUGCCCAUUCAUCUUAAUAAUGCAUUUAUUUUUGCCCAAGGUAUCCUUCAGCCGAAGGUUUGAGACUAAUUAUUUAAUGUAACGAGGUCCAUUUAAGUGUUGACCUCUCCCAACAAGUGUUCUUCCAUGUGCACCGACCAGGUAUUGAACUCGUGCAACCGCAUGUUUACAAGACACAAUCAUCUGGCUGAUAAAUUCUUUUAAUCAAAUUCACAUUAGCAAACUUGUGAGUAAAUAAAAUAUAGUAGAAUGUAAAAUUUCAUUCAUAUUCAAUAAGUGGGCUUACACAAAACUUUGUGUCCUUUUUUACAUUCAGAAUAGAUACCUUUAGAUGCAAAGCCACAAUGCUGCACCACCACCCUGCAGACCACUAUAAUAUUGAGAUUUAGCUUCAUGGAAACACUUCAUUCCACAUAAAAGAAAUUAUAUACUUUUUUUUUUUUUCAGGAAAGAUAUGCUCUAACUUGAGGACCAUUGAGAAUGUUAUUUUUAAAAGUUAAUUUGAAAGCUAGGUAUAGAAUAUCUCAAUUUGUUUAGGACAACCCCAUAAUUGUAACCGCAUAUAGGAGGACCAUUUUGUUCUCAUUACUAAUAUUUAAUUACUACAAAAUAAAAGAAAAUUGAUGUUCAUUAGCUAAUAUAUCAUAUGUUACUUAAUACUUUAAUCGGAAGAAAUGUGGAAAAAAAAACCUAAAAUUUCAAUUGUUAUUUCUCAUAUAGUUUUAGAAAGAAUACAAGUCUUCCAUUUAUCGAAUGAGAAAAAUAACAUACAAUUUGAAUCUCAAAGGACCUAAAUCAUGAAAAUACAUAACAAAUAGGCAAUUUCUAUGGUACACUCGAAAAAUUUGAGUGUACCGCUACACCUAUAUCAGAGGUCCGAUGACACUUGUGAGAUGCUUUGGACUGUCAUGCCAUAAAGCUCAAUAGAGUUUCAUGUUGUUGUUAUUUACAUUAUUGUUGGUGGCAUAAUUGUGUUGUUUUCUUCCAUCGUUUCUUCUUUGUUUUAGAUAUGAUGAAUAUAGAAACAAAUGUUUCUUGGUUCCUCUUUCUUGUUUUGCUAUUGUUAUUUUUAGUUUUUCUUUUAACUUCAGAAAAAAAUACUAGUUGAUUUCAUUUUCUGAAACCUUUUCUUGGAUAAACACAAAUCAACAACACCUAGCCACUCAAUUUAGAUUACAAGAGAUAUUAUAAUUUAAAAUUAAAUAUUCACAAAAAUAUUAAAUCAAAAUUUUUCUUAAGAGAAAAAAGUUUGUUUCAAUACUUCAAUAUUGGGACACAAAUCGCCAUAAACGAUACCACUAUGUUUGCAUAUUUAUUGAAAUGCUAAAUUAUUUCUCGCAAAAGUGGUAAAUCGGGUUAUCGUAUCCACAUAGACUUGUCUAAGACUAUGCCACAAAAAAGUGGUAAAUUGGGUAAAUGUGGCAAAUCGGGUUAUCGUGGCACGAUUUAGUUCAAUGAUUUGGAGGUUUUGGUUCACAUUUUUCUGCAGUGUAAAAGUGGUCAAAACUUGCAUGAUUUGUGGAUUAGGUUAAGUAUUGUGUUGUGUACGAGCUCUAAAUCAUGACACAAUUUUGUCUAGGUCUUAGUACUAUACAAGCGUCCAUUCUUCGUUUUUUUGUGUGUGGCUUGAAGAGAGAGAAUCUUUGGAAAAGAAAAGGAGAGAAGUUUAGGGUUGAGUGUCUUUGAGUGAGAUUCAUGGGUUGGAAAACACUUGACAAACACCUUGGGUAGUAAAAUCCAGUUAAAGAAAGGAUAAAAAAAAUUCUUUAUUGUUUUCUCAUAGAAUCCAUUGUGUUUGAGUGACUUGAAAAUUUGUAGAAAUUUGGUUGUAAUCUCUUUGUAGAACUCUUAUCAUAGUGGAUGGAUAGAUUCUCCCUCCCUCUGAUGUAGGAUAAAUUUGUCCGAUCUGAGUAAACAAUUAUUGUGUGUUGUUUUUCCUCUUCUUUCUUAUCUUAGUUGCUUUGGUUUUAUGCCUCUGACGAUGCUUCACACUUAGAUCUAGGUUUGUUUGUUGUUAUUGUUGCUAAAGAUUCUAAUAACAAAUUCCCUGCUUAUUUAAUGAGGGAUCUCAAAUUAAGAUAAUGAUUCAAAGGCAUCUAAUGCAACAAGCUAUGCAAGCAAUAAGAUUUAUAAUGUGUUUCAGUUUUAAUCUAAACUUAGCGAAUAUUUUUCAAUCAAACUCUAAAUUAUAAAUCAAUAAAUGAAUAGUCAACAUAACAGACACUAAGAACAAAAUAUAGUCACUUUUUUUUUGGUGGUAAAUCAAACAACAAAAUAUAAUCACCAACAUCAAUGAACAUAUAUAUACUACUACAAAAGAUAUUACAUCAGAGUUUGGUAUAUUACAUUUGAGCUUAGCAAAUUUAUCGAGGCCUAGAGAAAUGGAUAGAUGAUAUUAUCUUAUACAAGUCACAGAAUUCGCUACCCUAACAAUGGAACCGUGAAUUGGUUCGUACGUACCGGCUCACAAUACUUUUGUGAACCGGUUCGUCCAAACUCGGAUCAAUUUGAAUUACACUUUUAUUGUAGUUCCAUUGGGAUGCUUGAUAUUAUUAAAAUUAAAUGCAACUACUAGAAAUUCCCGUUUCUCCUGCGGAUUUUUCUAUGGAAAAUUAACCACAAGAACUACUGAGGAUUUUGCUGCAGUUUUCAUUUUGUAAACCGCAGGAAAGUCCGUAGGUAAAUACCCCUUUAGCUGAGGCUUUUCUUGCCGUAAAAUUUUAGAUUUAUUUUCUACUUUUCCUGCAGAUUCACAUGCGGUACCCCUCACCCACACUUCAAUAUUCCUUAGGUAAUGUCGCAGGUACAUCCGCGGAGUUUCCUUUUGGAUCUUGAUAUGGAUUUCCUGUGGAAAUUCUUGCACGCAGUUGACGUCACAUCAGAGUCAAAACAUCCAAAAAAAUUAUGUUGUCGUCUGGAUUGCCAAAUAGCAAGUGAUUUUUGGGGUUUCCAAAAUUUUAGGGGUCGUGGUCGAUCAAUAUAAAUUUAUUAUCUUUUAGUCGAUUAAAAUAAAUUAUAUUACAUCAAAGUCUCGAAACAUCCAAAAAAUUUAUGUUUGUGGUCUGGAUCACCAAAAUUUUGGCAAGGUAAUGUUAUAUGGUCUGGACCACAUUAGUUUAUUUUUUAAAAAAGUUUAUUCUUCAAUUCCAUGGCAUGGAAAUAGUCCUUGCUCUCCCUUUAACUAAAAAGGUCCUAAACAGAUACCAAAUAAAAAAAAAAAUCCUAAUAAUUAACGUUUCAAUUGAGGAUUUAUACAUGAGUUUGUAAAAAAGGUUUAUUCUCAAAAUUUUCAUCUAUAGUCUAUUUAUUUAAUUACAAAGACACAAAGUUGUCAUGCCUAGAUACUAUAUUCUUCAGCAAAUUAGUAUGAAGAUCCUAGGAAGAAAAAAUAAAAAGAUAGCACGCAAAUAACAACUUUGCAUACCACAUAAGUGUUCACAAAGCUUGAAAGUUAAGAGACAACAUAUUAAAAAGAGAAUCUUUUGUCCAAAAAUACCAAAACAUAUGUUCUUUUCACUUCACUUUAUUGUUGAAAAUCAUAAUAAAACAUUUUUAGAAUCUGAUGUCAGCUUUAAUUAUUAAGAUAAAAUAAAUAGAUAAAUAAAACAAUAUAUAAAAGGCUUAAGAAUCUAUAUUCCUUCACUACUAGAAAAAGAAAAAUCAGCGAGAGAAAUUAGUGACGGAAAAAAUGAAAUUCCUCACAAAUUCCUUGGUCGCAAAAUUUAGUGACGGAAUUAGAUAGGGAUUUCACGUUUUCCCUCACUAAAUUUCCCUCACUAAUUUUUAAUUUUUUAGUAGUGCUUCUUUAGGGAAGAAAAAGUUAAGAAAUAACGUCUCACUUCUUUCAUAAGCAAGCAUAUAUCAUGGCAACGCAGAAAUUUUCAGUGGUUAUAUUAUGUCACAAAAUAGUAGACAAAUCUGAUUUUUGAAUAGGUAAUGAUAGAAAAGGCCAUGCAAAUGUACGAGCUCAACUGUUAGUUACCAAAUCUCCUUUAAGAAUAAGCUUCAUAUGAGAAGCUAACUAUUGGAAGCUUUACUGCACAAGACAUUGAUAUCGAAUCCAAACCUUAAUUAGGUUUUCCCUAUUUAACUUGUGUGUUAUACAAGUUUGAGCUAAAGAAAGUGGCAAACAAUCAAAAUGAGCAUGAGUAGGAAAGUGGCCAUAUUUUUAAAAUCUAGUGCUACCUUAAUUAGGGUUUGUCGAAUGCUUGUCCAUGGCUUGUGAAGUACCACUCUUAUCCUGCAUUAAGUGAUCAAAUGAUUUUGCAUUGGCAAUAAGGAAAGGAUAAUCUGCAUUCUAAGGUUAAAGACAGCUAAAAUAUUGUUAUAAACCUCAGGAUGCAGAUUAUCUAAUCCUUACCCAAUAAUUAUACUGAUUCCAUCAAGAAGACAUAUUGCUCUAAUGGAAAAUGGAAACUGUCAUGUUAAUUUUUGUUGGGUAGUCUUGGGAGCGGCAGGAGUGGUAAUUGGCUAUAAAUCGAGGAUCUCUAAAGAGACUCUGACACCAUAUCAUCACCCAAAACCAUCAAGAAUUAAGUAUAUGUGUCACCUCUCUUAUAUAUCCAACGUUUUCUCCAUUUCUACUCGAUGUGGGACUUAAUCACUCACACAUGAAACCCAACAAUCUCCGCCUCAAGUUUGAGUGACCCAUAUCACUAGCCUGAUUCACGCUAGGAUCCCGCUCCCACUACCCCACUGAGCCUAACUAGAUCUCUUAUACCAUUUGUUAAGGAGAUUGGGAGCGCCGGGAGCGGCAUUGAGCUAAACUUCUAGUAUCUCUAAGAGACUUUGGCAACAUAUCUUCUCCAAAUACCUUAAAGUAUUAAGUAUAUGUGUCGCUACACUUAUAUAUCAAAUGUUUCCUUCAUUUCUAAUUGAUGUAAGAAUUAAUGACUAACACACGAAGGCCAACAAUUUCAUAAUUUUGUGCCCAUUGGUGUUAAGGAAGAGAUAAUCUGCACUCCAAGGCUUAGAUACAAUUACGCAGCUGUUAUUCUAAACCUCAGGAUGCAGAUUAUCCUAUCCAAACUCAAUAUAUCCACAUUAAAUAAGUGUGUUUAGUAUUGGUAUUAAGGAAAAUGUAAUUUGAAUCCCAAGGACUAGAUACAAUGCAAGUAUUGUUGUAAUCCUCAACCAAUUUACAAGGAUGAUUCUA